AUUGAACGCUGGCGGCAUGCCUUACACAUGCAAGUCGAACGGCAGCACGGGAGCAAUCCUGGUGGCGAGUGGCGAACGGGUGAGUAAUACAUCGGAACGUGCCCAAUCGUGGGGGAUAACGCAGCGAAAGCUGUGCUAAUACCGCAUACGAUCUACGGAUGAAAGCAGGGGAUCGCAAGACCUUGCGCGAGUGGAGCGGCCGAUGGCAGAUUAGGUAGUUGGUGAGGUAAAGGCUCACCAAGCCGUCGAUCUGUAGCUGGUCUGAGAGGACGACCAGCCACACUGGGACUGAGACACGGCCCAGACUCCUACGGGAGGCAGCAGUGGGGAAUUUUGGACAAUGGGCGAAAGCCUGAUCCAGCCAUGCCGCGUGCAGGAUGAAGGCCUUCGGGUUGUAAACUGCUUUUGUACGGAACGAAACGGCCUUUUCUAAUAAAGAGGGCUAAUGACGGUACCGUAAGAAUAAGCACCGGCUAACUACGUGCCAGCAGCCGCGGUAAUACGUAGGGUGCAAGCGUUAAUCGGAAUUACUGGGCGUAAAGCGUGCGCAGGCGGUUAUGUAAGACAGUUGUGAAAUCCCCGGGCUCAACCUGGGAACUGCAUCUGUGACUGCAUAGCUAGAGUACGGUAGAGGGGGAUGGAAUUCCGCGUGUAGCAGUGAAAUGCGUAGAUAUGCGGAGGAACACCGAUGGCGAAGGCAAUCCCCUGGACCUGUACUGACGCUCAUGCACGAAAGCGUGGGGAGCAAACAGG
rnacentral:rRNA from 1 species